ACUUCUUUUUCUUUUUUUUUUUCCUGACUUUCUCAUCCUUUAAAAUAGAACUCUCCUGAAAAGUUCUGAGAGCUCCACUCCUAUGAAAGUCAACAGUCCUUCAAGAAAGAGGACCCAACUUGCUGGAGUGGCUUAUCUGGACCGGAGCCUACUCCUACCCAAGACCUGAAAGACCUCAGGGAAGAUGUCAGUGGAGGCAGCCAGAAGACUGGGGAGCCUCAGUGGUCUCAAAAGCAAGCCACAAGAAAACACUGUCACCUGAUGUGGGUCAUGGUUGGGCAGUAAUACCGAUGGCCAAAGUGUGGGGGUCACCGUGGGGAGGACUAGUGCUGGAGGAAGAGGUUGAGUCACGUUCUCUGGGGUUAAUUAUAUGGUGGAUGCUGAUGAACUAGGCAAAGAGCUUAAAAUCUAUAAGGAAUUUGUAAUGGGAAUUUAUCUUCAUACCUAUACUGCUAUUGAUCAAAAUGGUAGUCAGCAGAUGUUCAGACCCUAUUGAUCAGCUUGGAUAUAUUAUCGGUGGCUGUAUUCUAAAUAGAGUUCAGU
rnacentral:lncRNA from 7 species